rnacentral:rRNA from 1 species
CCUACGGGUGGCAGCAGUAGGGAAUUUUGCGCAAUGGGGGAAACCCUGACGCAGCAACGCCGCGUGAUCGAUGAAGCCCUUCGGGGCGUAAAGAUCUGUCAGCGGGGACGAAACCUGACGGUACCCAUAGAGGAAGCACCGCCUAACGCCGGGCCAGCAGCCGCGGGAAUACGGGGGGUGCAAGCGUUGUCCGGAAUCUUUGGGCGUAAAGGGUUCGUAGGUGGCACGUUAAGUCUGAUGUUAAAGGCGGUAGCUCAACUUCCGUAGGGCACUGGAUACUGGCGAGCUUGAAUGCGGGAGAGGUAAAGGGAAUUCCUGGUGUAGCGGUGAAAUGCGUAGAUAUCAGGAAGAACAUCAGUGGCGAAGGCGGUUUACUGGGCCGUAAUUGACGCUGAGGAACGAAAGCCGGGGUAGCGAAUGGGAUUAGAUACCCUUGUAGUC